UACAGAGGGGGCAAGCGUUAUUCGGAAUUAUUGGGCGUAAAGGGCGCGUAGGCGGCCUGGCAAGUGGAAGGUGAAAUCCCUCGGCUUAACCGAGGAACUGCCCUCCAAACUGCUUGGCUUGAGACCGGGAGAGGUGAGUGGAAUUCCCAGUGUAGCGGUGAAAUGCGUAGAUAUUGGGAGGAACACCAGUGGCGAAGGCGGCUCACUGGACCGGUACUGACGCUGAGGCGCGAAAGCUAGGGUAGCGAACGGGA
rnacentral:rRNA from 1 species